rnacentral:rRNA from 1 species
UACGUAGGGGGCAAGCGUUGUCCGGAAUCAUUGGGCGUAAGGAGCGUGUAGGCGGCUCGGUAAGUCCGCUGUGAAAGUCCAGGGCUCAACCCUGGAAUGCCGGUGGAAACUGUCGAGCUAGAGUCCGGAAGAGGCGAGUGGAAUUCCUGGUGUAGCGGUGAAAUGCGCAGAUAUCAGGAGGAACACCAAUGGCGAAGGCAGCUCGCUGGGACGGUACUGACGCUGAGACGCGAAAGCGUGGGGAGCAAACAGG